rnacentral:misc_RNA from 1 species
CCGAGUUUACAACUCCCAAACUCCUGUGAACAUACCACUUGUUGCCUCGGCGGAUCAGCCCGCUCCCGGUAAAACGGGACGGCCCGCCAGAGGACCCCUAAACUCUGUUUCUAUAUGUAACUUCUGAGUAAAACCAUAGAUAAAUCA